rnacentral:rRNA from 1 species
UACGUAGGGAGCAAGCGUUGUCCGGAUUUAUUGGGCGUAAAGAGCGUGUAGGCGCCAGACAGGUCCGUUGUGAAAACUGGAGGCUCAACCUCCAGACGUCGAUGGAAACCGUCUGGCUAGAGUCCGGAAGAGGAGAGUGGAAUUCCUGGUGUAGCGGUGAAAUGCGCAGAUAUCAGGAAGAACACCCGUGGCGAAAGCGGCUCUCUGGGACGGUACUGACGCUGAGACGCGAAAGCGUGGGGAGCGAACAGG